UUUUGUGCAUUUGAUCACGUCAGAACAAGAUUGGAAGAGGAUUUGGGCAAGUUUACAAGCUUCAAUGUGGAGAAACCAGAACUUGUUGUUACACUGUGUUAGUAGAGCGCGUAAAAGAGCUGCCAACGUUGGAAAUGACUAUCACCGCAACUUACUCUCUAGCAUUUGCUAGAAAGUCCUUCAACUGCUGGGCAGAAUUAUGAAAGCAUUCACAAUAAGCUAAAUCUUGCUUAUGAAGAACGAUAAAUACAAUAUAAGAGUAUAAUAUAGUUCUGGAAACGAUUGACAUUUGUUUUAUUUUAUUACAAACAAAGGUGUUAAGUACAUUUUCUUCUGCUAAAUUUUAUGCUCUUUAGGCUGAA